CGGCGGACGGGUGAGUAAUGCCUAGGAAUCUGCCUGGUAGUGGGGGACAACGUUUCGAAAGGAACGCUAAUACCGCGUACGUCCUACGGGAGAAAGCAGGGACCUUCGGGCCUUGCGCUAUCAGAUGAGCCUAGGUCGGAUUAGCUAGUUGGUGAGGUAAUGGCUCACCAAGGCGACGAUCCGUAACUGGUCUGAGAGGAUGAUCAGUCACACUGGAACUGAGACACGGUCCAGACUCCUACGGGAGGCAGCAGCG
rnacentral:rRNA from 1 species